UGAUGACGAGACGCUAAGGCGUUGAAGCAGUGUAUGUCAUACUUCCAAGAAAAGCUUGCACUGUCAGAAACAGAUAAUGCCUGUACCAUAACCGACACAGGUGGGUAGGUAGAGUAUACUAAGGGGCGCGAGAUAACUCUCUCUAAGGAACUCGGCAAAAUGACUCCGUAACUUCGGGAGAAGGAGUGCCUUAUUUAUAAGGUUGCAAUAACAAGAUCCAAGCAACUGUUUAUCAAAAACACAGGUCUCCGCUAAGUCGUAAGACGAUGUAUGGGGGCUGACGCCUGCCCAGUGCCAGAAGGUUAAAGAAGUUGGUUAGUGUAUGCGAAGCUGAUGACUGAAGCCCUGGUGAACGGCGGCCGUAACUAUAACGGUCCUAAGGUAGCGAAAUUCCUUGUCGGGUAAGUUCCGACCCGCACGAAAGGCGUAAUGAUUUGGAUACUGUCUCGGAGAGAGGCUCGGUGAAAUAGACUUGUCUGUGAAGAUGCGGACUACCUGCACCAGGACAGAAAGACCCUAUGAAGCUUUACUGUAACUUGAAAUUGGAAUUGGACUUUGCUUGCGCAGUAUAGGUGGGAAGCGUUGAAAAUAUUCUUGCGGGAGUAUUGGAGCUAUCAGUGAGAUACCACUCUUGUAAUGUUAGAUUUCUAACUUUGAACCAUAAUCUGGUCAAAGAACAGUUUCAGGUGGGCAGUUUGACUGGGCGGUCGCCUCCCAAAUGGUGACGGAGGCGUACAAAGGUUUCCUCUGAACGGAUAGAAAUCGUAUCUAGAGUGUAAAGGCAUAAGGAAGCUUGACUGUGAGACCUACAAGUCGAGCAGGGACGAAAGUCGGUCUUAGUGAUCUGACGGUACUGAGUGGAAAGGCCGUCACUCAACGGAUAAAAGUUACUCUAGGAUAACAGGCUGAUCUCCCCCAAGAGUUCACAUCGACGGGGAGGUUUGGCACCUCGAUGUCGGCUCAUCGCAUCCUGGGGCGGUAGUACGUCCCAAGGGUUGGGCUGUUCGCCCAUGAAAGCGGUACGCGAGCUGGGUUCAGAACGUCGUGAGACAGUUCGGUCCAUAUCCGGUGUAGGCGCUAGAAUAUUGAGAGGAGCCUUCUUUAGUACGAGAGGACCGAGAAGGACACACCGCUGGUGUACCAGUUAUCGUGCCAACGGUAAACGCUGGGUAGCUAUGUGUGGAGUGGAUAACCGCUGAAAGCAUCUAAGUGGGAAGCCCACCUCGAGAUGAG
rnacentral:rRNA from 1 species